rnacentral:misc_RNA from 1 species
UCUAUGUUUCCCGACACCCAUUACUAUUUCCUACACAGCACCAGCAUGGUUGGUCAUCUCAUGACAUCGGUUCAAAAGCUUUGGUCCUUAACUCCAGGGAUCUCGGCCUUGGACCUGGUACUUACAGUAUUGGCAUCUAUGGUUUCAAGGGCACAACCAAGUACAAGGUGUCAGUUAGCAUACGAGACAAAUCUAAUUUAAAGAUUGGACAGCAAGCCGUAUCUUCCACAUUGUCUGCUGAUGGAGAUACAGUAGAAUGCCAAAACUGUAAACAUUACAUACCUUCCAGGAGUAUAGCACUACAUGAAGCUUACUGCAGGAGGCACAAUAUCAUCUGUCAGCAUACCGGUUGUGGGGUUGUUCUAAGGAGGGAUGAGGUCGAGAACCAUGUCCAUUGUGAAGAAUGUGGGCUAGCAUUUCAGAAAGAGGAAAUUGAGAAGCACAAGAAAGUAUUUCACGUCCCAUUGAAUUGCCCUUGUGGAAUAGUCCUUGAAAAAGAAAAGAUGGUUCAACAUCAAUCUGUG